UACGUAGGGUGCAAGCGUUGUCCGGAAUUAUUGGGCGUAAAGAGCUCGUAGGCGGUUUGUUGCGUCGGCUGUGAAAUCCCGAGGCUCAACCUCGGGUCUGCAGUCGAUACGAGCAAACUAGAGUGUUGCAGGGGAGACUGGAAUUCCUGGUGUAGCGGUGAAAUGCGCAGAGAUCCGGAAGAACACCGGUGGCGAAGGCGGCCUACUGGGCUGCACCUGACGCUGAACCGCGAAAGCCAGGGGAGCGAACGGG
rnacentral:rRNA from 1 species